AAAUGAAGCGUGUUUCCAUUUCACGCUUUUCAAAUGCGGCGGCCAAAAGCGAAAAAAGCACGCUGAGAAGCCAAACGCGUCUGUGAUUCACGCAUCUUCUUCUCACACGAAAACACAGGGCUCCAACGGAACUUAUUACGGAGAACACCGAGCACCGGACUCGACUCUCAGAUCAUCUGAUCAGGCAACAAUUCCUCAUCCAAAGUAUUUUUCCCUUCAAACCAUUUCCCUCAAGGAAACGGCGCCAGCUGCUGCAAGUCAAGUCGGCGGGUGAGAAAUGAAGCAGAGAUUCGGAGGAGGGAGGCAGCCAACGGGCACUCCGUCGAUGGGGUGGUCGUGCGUCGUCGUCAUUGUUUCGCUUCUUUCUGGCGCCUCCGUCGUCCACAACAUCUUCAAGCCUAGUUUGACGUUGCCACCAUUGGAAGGUGCUCAUGGGGACCAUGGCAAGGAACCGUAAAAAGGGAUGAAUUUUGUGUCACCACUUGAUCAAAUUGUUGGGCUUUGUUAAGGUUAAUGCUUUAAUCUUCAAAUGGAAGAAAUAAAAAUUCCUUUCUAGUCCAUAUGUUGGGGUCCAUUUGACCAUUAGUAUCUUUUGUUUCUUUGAUAUGGGUCGGAGCCUAACUCUAUGUGGAUUCUCUGGAUUCAGGAUCAGUGAUCAUAAUUUUGAUUUCGUGAUUAGAGCCUGAUUACUAUGCUAGAUUCUUCAUUCACUGAUAGAAGUUAAUUAUCUUGUUCUUGUAAUUGAACGAGGGUUCAUUGAGUAGUGGAUUAUGAAAUGGAAUUGUUCAGUGACUACUUGCAUAGGAAUUUCUUCAAUCCGUUGCUAUAGAUGGUGAACUUCAUUUACCUUUUAGGCUUUGUUUAGGUAGAUGUGGAUUCAAAUGAAUGGGUUUGCCAUUAUUAUGCAAUUAAUGGAUACCUAUUGAAAUUCUUAUGGUU